rnacentral:rRNA from 1 species
UACGGAGGGUGCGAGCGUUGUCCGGAAUCACUGGGCGUAAAGGGCGCGUAGGUGGCGUCGCAAGUCAACGGUGAAAGCUCGACGCUCAACGUCGAGUCGGCCGUCGAGACUGCGAGGCUUGAGCACUGUAGAGGCAGAUGGAAUUCCGGGUGUAGCGGUGGAAUGUGUAGAGAUCCGGAAGAACACCGGUGGCGAAGGCGGUCUGCUGGGCAGUUGCUGACACUGAGGCGCGACAGCGUGGGGAGCAAACAGG